rnacentral:rRNA from 1 species
UACGAAGGGUGCAAGCGUUACUCGGAAUUACUGGGCGUAAAGCGUGCGUAGGUGGUUUGUUAAGUCUGCUGUGAAAGCCCCGGGCUCAACCUGGGAAUGGCAGUGGAUACUGGCAAGCUAGAGUGCGGUAGAGGGGUGUGGAAUUCCGGGUGGAGCGGUGAAAUGCGUAGAGAUCCGGAGGAACACCGACGGCGAAGGCAGCGCCCUGGCCGCCAUCUGACGCUCAGGCACGAAAGCUGGGGGAGCAAACAGG